GACGAACGCUGGCGGCGUGCUUAACACAUGCAAGUCGAACGAGAUCCAUUCAGUAGCAAUACUGAUGAAGAUCUAGUGGCGAACGGGUGCGUAACACGUGAGGAACCUGUCCCGGUCUCUGGGAUAACAGUUGGAAACGACUGCUAAUACCGGAUGACGUCGGAACUUCGCAUGGAGUACUGACGAAAGGGUUACUGGAUCGGGAGAGCCUCGCGGCCUAUCAGCUUGUUGGUGGGGUAAUGGCCUACCAAGGCAUCGACGGGUAGCUGGUCUGAGAGGAUGAUCAGCCACACUGGGACUGAGACACGGCCCAGACUCCUACGGGAGGCAGCAGUGGGGAAUCUUGCACAAUGGGCGAAAGCCUGAUGCAGCAACGCCGCGUGCGGGAAGAAGGCCCUCGGGUUGUAAACCGCUUUCAGAAGGAACGAAACUGACGGUACUUUCAGAAGAAGGUGCGGCCAACUACGUGCCAGCAGCCGCGGUGACACGUAGGCACCAAGCGUUGUCCGGAUUUAUUGGGCGUAAAGAGCUCGUAGGCGGUUCAGUAAGUCGGGUGUGAAAACUUUGGGCUUAACCCAAAGCGUGCAUCCGAUACUGCUGUGACUUGAGUUCGGUAGGGGAGCGGG
rnacentral:rRNA from 1 species